rnacentral:rRNA from 1 species
AUGACUUUGACUGAUACUCCUCUACCCAAGCUGAAGAAUCCCUUCUCUAAGAAGCAAAACUUCAAGGUUGAUGACUUCUUUCACGAGCAUGUGUUCUUCACAGACUACAACCCAUAUGACUCUACUCGUCUUUGA